CGGGAUCCAGGGAGGAGACAGAGCCUAUGCAGUAGUAUGAAGAGGGCAAGUUUGAUAUAAAGAAUUAUUCAUAGGAAGAGGUAGUCCCUUGAAGGGGUAUCUGAUUCCUCACCAGCCCGGGACACUCACGACAGUUCCCCCAUCGGAGUCUGCAGCCAGGGAGGUCUCAAGUGUGAUUUCUCCUCUUCUUAAAAGUGUCUUCCUUCCCCCUUCUCCAAGAAGUCUCCAUCAGGUGUCCCUACCAGGGGACCUCAUCCCGCCCUGUUCCUCUCCCACCACACUCACGUCCUUAUCACCCUCACUUACAACUAUCUGUGGACGUGACGGUCUUAUAGGUGUUCGAGCCCCAUCAGCUCCCUGA